AUUUUUCAUUCUAAUUGCAGUCUAGGAAAAAAGCACUUGCAGACUUACAGCAAAUGCAGAGCGUGCAUCUUGAGAAGCUGAGUGACAUACAGUGCCAACCUGAGUCACAGCUAAAGUUCAUAACAGAGGCCUGGCUUCAGAUCGUUGAGUGCAGGCGUGUUUUGAAAUGGACAUAUGCUUAUGGAUAUUAUUUACCAGAGCAUGAACAUGCCAAGAGACAGUUCUUUGAGUACUUGCAAGGUUAGUAGUAUUAUUGAGCUUGAUUCUAAACUUAUCUUUGUUUUGCCCUCUUUUAAGCUU